AAAACGAUUGGAUGAAUGGGGCCCACAGAUUGAUGAGAUUUUAUCUGAUGCAAAAAAUGAAAUCAGACAAAGAUUUGGAGAAAAACUUUACCAGAAAAAAGGACGCCAAGGAAGUGACUU